rnacentral:piRNA from 1 species
UGUGACUCUUCAGGGAUAUCCCAAG